rnacentral:rRNA from 1 species
GACGAACGCUGGCGGCGUGCUUAACACAUGCAAGUCGAACGGAAAGGCCCUGCUUGCAGGGUACUCGAGUGGCGAACGGGUGAGUAACACGUGGGUGAUCUGCCCUGCACAUCGGGAUAUGCCUGGGAAACUGGGUCUAAUAUCGGAUAGGAGCCAUUCUUAGUGUGAUGGUUGGAAAGUUUUUUCGGUGUAGGAUGAGCUCGCGGCCUAUCAGCUUGUUGGUGGGGUAAUGGCCUACCAAGGCGGCGACGGGUAGCCGGCCUGGGAGGGUGGACGGCCACAUUGGGACUGGAGUACGGCCCAGACUCCUACGGGAGGCAGCAGUGGGGAAUAUUGCACAAUGGGCGCAAGCCUGAUGCAGCGACGCCGCGUGGGGGGUGACGGCCUUCGGGUUGUAAACUCCUUUCGCUAGGGACGAAGCUUUUUGUGACGGUACCGAGAUAAGAAGCACCGGCUAACUACGUG